rnacentral:rRNA from 1 species
AAUAGAUACCCGGGUAGUCCACGCCGUAAACGAUGGAUACUAGCUGUUUGAGCGCAAGUUUGAGUGGCUAAGCGAAAGUGAUAAGUAUCCCACCUGGGGAGUACGGGCGCAAGCCUGAAACUCAAAGGAAUUGACGGGGGCCCGCACAAGCGGUGGAGCAUGUGGUUUAAUUCGAUGAUACGCGAGGAACCUUACCAGGGCUUAAAUGUAGAUUGACGUAUUUGGAAACAGAUAUUUCUUCGGACAAUUUACACGGUGCUGCAUGGUUGUCGUCAGCUCGUGCCGUGAGGUGUCAGGUUAAGUCCUAUAACGAGCGCAACCCUGUUGUUAGUUGCCAGCGAGUAAUGUCGGGAACUCUAGCAAGACUGCCAGUGUAAACUGUGAGGAAGGUGGGGAUGACGUCAAAUCAUCACGGCCCUUACGUCCUGGGCCACACACGUGCUACAAUGGCCGGUACAGAGAGCAGCCACUUAGCGAUAAGGAGCGAAUCUAUAAAGCCGGUCACAGUUCGGAUCGGAGUCUGCAACG